GGAGGGUGCGCGCGCACUUCUUCCUCGGCCUCACCCUUACCCAGGAGGCCGCAACAGGGCUGUGUCCCCGCGCUUGCCCCAGCCGCAGCCCUUCACCCACCUCAUCUUUGACAUGGAAGGACUUCUUCUGGAUGGGUAGUCUGUGACCACCGCCUCCGUGAGGGGGGUCCUGGGCGGGCGUGGCAACUGUCGGCGGGUGGUACGUCACAGCUGGGUUGCCGCGACUGUGCAGUGUUCCAGCAGGAACCCGCGGGCUCCCAUGCGCACGGGAGCCUGCGCCAAAAUGGAGCUGCGGCCAGCAACGCCAGCUCGCUGGGCUGAUGGUGAUACUGAAUGGCAGUACUAAGUGUUGUUUCAAGAAAUAUGUGAUCACUAUGGCAAGAAAUACAGCUGGGAUAUAAAGUCCCUGGUUAUGGGUAAGAUUGCAUUAGAAGCAGCACCGAUACACAUCUUGCAGCUCCGAAUGUCCAAAGAGGAGCUGGUGGAAAAAAACCAAAAGAAGUUAAAGGGAAGUGUUCCCCACAGCUGUGCUCAUGGCAGGAAUGGUCUAGAUUACAGACCUAGAAAAUAGACUAUUUGAAGAUUCUUCUGGGAUAACAGGAUGAAUACUCUGUCUUAAGAAUUCCUGUUGCCAGGGGAGAAAAAAAAUUGCAGUUAUGUGGAGUCUUGCUCUGUCACCCAGGCUGGAGUGCAGUGGCAUGACCUUGGCUUACGACAACCUCCACUUCCUGGGUUUAAGUGAUGUUCCUGCCUCAUCAGUUUGAGUGUUUUCAUCAUGAAAGAGCGUUGGAGCUUUUCAAAUGCUUUUUCUUUCUCAUCAGUUGGGGUUUUCUUUUUUUGUAUCCUUUGGUUUCUUAUUCUGUAAAUGUGGUUUCAUAUGUUCAACAUGUUUGCAUUCCAGGUAUAAACUUCACUUGUUCAUGUAUAUGAUCCUUUUAAUUUGUUGUGGAAUUUUGUUAAUAUUUUAUUUAGAUUUUUAAAUCUGUGUUAAUCGGGGAUAUUGAUCUGUAUUUUAUUUUUAAUAUUGUGUUUUACAUGUUUGGUAGAGUUCUCCAGUGAUUCCAGCUGGUCCUGGGCUUUUCUUUGUGGGGAUGUUUUAUUUUAUUAUUGAUUCAGUCUCCUUACUACUUACAGGUCUGUUCAGAUUUUCUGUGUCUUCAUUUUUUCCCUCUUUUCAAAAUGAUCAGUAAUUCUCUGUCUUCAUGAUUCAGUUUUGGUAGGUUGUUUAUUUCUAGGAAUUCUUUUAUUUCCUUUAGCUUAUCCUAAUUGUUGUCAAAGGAUAUGCCAACAAAUGGUAUUCUCCUUUUAUUUUUUGUGGCAUUGGUUAUAGUGUGGGCUCUAGCAUUUCUGAUUUUAGUCAUCUGAGUGUUCUUUUCUUUGUUACUAUAGCUAAGGUUUAUCCGUAAAGUUAUUCUGUGACCCAGCAUUUCUUCUGACUUAACAUACAAAGCACUCAUGAUGUGUGAGGCAUGAAUGUGUCUUAUUUCUUGAAUAUCUACCCAAGCCUUUCAUAUGGUUUGUCUUCCAUACUUUUUAUUCUAUAUUCUAAGAUAUACUUGAAAUAUACUGCAAUUCUUAAAAAAAAAUGAUGUUUUAUCUAGCUAGCCUGGUAGUUUGGGUGGAGUGCUUGUGAAUUUGUUUUAUGGAAUCUACGAUGAUCCCAUCAACAUAGUGUCUUCAUUUGGCUUUCUAAGUGAGCAGAUAGCGAUUAAGUGAGGUGCGAAUCAUAGAAACUCACAGAAGAUGAACAACUAGCCAGGAGCUACUUUUUCAAAGUUAGUUCAGUCCUACAGAGCUUAUAUAGAUGGCUCUGUUAUUUUUUUUAACUAUUUUUUGACCUAUUUCAGGUGACAGUGUGUGUGUGUGUGUACAUGCAGGUAUACUUAUUUUAAUUUCUCCUAGCUGCAUGGUUGUGAGUAGGGACUUACCAAUGAUAUUAAAAGUCUGUCUUUGAAAAUGAUCAUAUCUGAGUGCCAUGUACACAAUUAGCUGUGCUUUGACAGAGCAGAAUAUGCAGAAGACUUAAGAGUAUAAAGAAAUGCACAAAGUAAUACUGGAAAGAAAUGUAAAAUCAUGCUGGGAUGCUGGCUCACAUGAUGUGCCAGCAACAGCGGUCGGAUGAUGAGCAGCUUUGAUAUUCUGAAAUGAAUUAGGCAGGAUAAGACAAACUGAUUAGAAAUAAUACUUAACCUGAAGGGAAAGCAAACCAGGGGAGGGCAGUGUUGGAUGUGAUGUGUAGAACAGAAAGACAGGCUGUGGCUAAUUCUCAUCCAGAAAUGUGUUCUUCCUUAGGGUUUCUGCUCAAUAUUACACCAGUCACAAAAAUAAAAAUAAAAUAGAUCUUCCGCCCUAAAAGAACAUUCUGGGAGGCCUAGUUUCCAUUCAUUUUCCACUCCUCCCAUCUCGUUUUUUAUCUGCGCCAAACUUGAAUUCCCCUGGGAAGGUGGCCUUGUAGUGUCAUUGCUCUGGUGACUACAUUCAGCAAAACUUGCUGCUAUCAUCAUUCUUCUUCUAGGUGUUCAUUUUGCUCACAUACUACUUUCUUCCUGUUCUUAAGCUGUAGAUCAUAAUAUAACCUUUGAUUUCAUUUCUUUUCCUUCUGAAAGAAUUUUGUGGUAGGCUAUGUUGGUUUGUGGAAGUCAUCCUGACCUCAUUAGAAAAGAAAGCUGCCUGUAGGGAGGGCUUAAUUCAAUAUCAUUAUUUUUCAUCUGCUUUCACAGUGACAGCUGAGGCCAAGCAGGUAUUUAGCAAGUUAAAUGGUAAGAGUGAAUGGUACAUUACCAGGAGAACCAGUCCCUGAUCAUGCUGCAAGGACUGAUUGCUGUGAUUAGGCUCCAGGGCAGGUGUCUGCCUGGGCCAGUCACCAGGGAAUCAGACUGAUCAUGCUGUCGGGGUGUCUGCCUUGGCCAGUCACCAGGAAAUCAGUCUGAUUAUGCUGUCAAGGUGUGUCUCCCUUGGUCGAACACUGGAAUCAGCCUGUUUAUGCUGCGGGGUAUGUCUGCCUUGGCCAAUCACCAGGGCAUCAGCAUGAUUAUGCUGCACGACAUAUUUGCCUGGGCCAGUCACCAGGGAAUCAGCCCCCUGAUUAUGGUGCAGAGGUGUGUUGUUGCCUUGAUCAUGGUAUAGAAGUAUGUCUUUGCUCUGAUUAUGAAGCAGUGGCAAGUCUGCCUGACCAAGGUAUAGUAGGGCUCUUUGCCUUGGUCAGUCUAGCCACUAAGAAGACAAGGUGGACCUGAUGGACUUAAAAGACGAGGCAGAAUGGCCUUGAUGAACUCACACAUCAGCUGCCUAUUUGCUGCCUAAUCAGGUUUCUGGAAGGCCCUCUCUAUAAAAAAGUGGGCAGGCCUAUGACAUCCUCAGUGGGAAAUCAUUUUGAGCAGUUUUUUCUGUAGGCAUUUCCUACAUGGCUUCAUGGGUCAUUGUAAACUGUCAGUCAGCCAAGACUGAGAUUAUUUUAAGAAAAUAAAGUCUUUUAAAUUGUGCAAAUCUUAGAGUAAAAAAAUGCAUGUGGUGUAUUUCUUGUGAGUUCUAGAUAUUUUAAAACAGAACCAUAUUACAACUGGAAAUGUAAGUCGCAUUACUUAAAAAAAAAUCUUCAGCUGGGAUAUCAGAAAAUCUUACUCAAAAUUUAGCCCAUGAUGAUUUCCUCCACUGUAUCUUGAACAAAUCCUUUCAGUAAUGAAUCCCUUGGGAUAGAUGAAUUCCUUACAGCAGCAAGGUACCAUCUUGAAACAGGGAGCAGCCCUCUGCAGAGACAGAGCUACUAUUGCCUUGAUCUUGGACUUCCCAGCCUCCAGAGGUGUGAGAAAUUCAUUUCUGUUCUUUACAAAUUUUCUGGUCCCAGAUAUUUUGUUACAGCUGCACAAGCAGACUAAGACCUGAGGCUUUGCUGUAAGACAAGGAGUGUGUAUGGUCACACCUGGCCCAGUAAGUGGCUCCUAGAAGGCACUUGUGUCAUUUCCUAACCCAGGAGGAUCCAGUCCUCACUGUGAAUCCCACCUUGAGGAGUUACUAAGGUCAUUCUCCAUCCCUGCUCAGCUUUGUUGAAAAGCACACACCAGUCAUGACAUGGACAUGAUGCACAUGGAUACACAUGACAUGGGCUCUGGUCCUCUUUCUACCCAAGCCGUGUCUUCCUCUUGUAAGUAAGCCUUCCUCCUCAGGCUUACUUAGGUAAUUAUGGUUGUUUCCAUCCUUCUGCUUUUUCUCUUUUUCUUUUUUUUAUUAUAAGUUAAGUUCUAGAGUAGAUGGGCGGAAUGUGCAGGUUUGUUCAAUAGGUAUACAUAUACCAUAUUGGUUUGCUGCACCCAUCAACUUGUCAUUUACAUUAGAUAUUUAUCCUAAUGCUAUCUCUCCCCCAUCCUCCCAUCCUCUGACAGGCCCCAGUCUGUGAUAUUCCCCACCCUGUGUCUAUGUUUUCUCCUUGUUCAACUCCCACUUAUGAGUGAGAACAUGGGGUGUUUGGUUUUCUGUUCCUGUGUUAGUGUGCUGAGAAUGAUGGUUUCCAGCUUCAUCCAUAUCCCUGCAAAGGACAUGAACUCAUCUUUUUUAUGGCUGUGUAUGUGCCACAUUUUCUUAAUCGAGUCUAUCAUUGAUGGACAUUUGGGUUGGUUCCAAGUCUUUGCUCUUGUGAAUAGUGCCACAAUAAACAUAUGUGUGCAUAUGUCUUUAUAGUGGAAAGAUUCAUAAUCCUUUGGGUACAUACCCACUAAUGGGAUAACUGGGUUAGAUGGUAUUUCUAGUUCUAGAUCCUUGAGGAAUUGCCACACUUUCUUCCACAAUGGUUGAACUAAUUUACACUCCCACCACCCAGGUAAAAAUGUUCC